rnacentral:rRNA from 1 species
CGUGUAGGCGGCCAAGCAGGUCUGUUGUGAAAACUGGAGGCUCAACCUCCAGACGUCGACAGAAACCGCUUGGCUAGAGUCCGGAAGAGGAGAGUGGAAUUCCUGGUGUAGCGGUGAAAUGCGCAGAUAUCAGGAAGAACACCAAUGGCGAAGGCAGCUCUCUGGGACGGUACUGACGCUGAGACGCGAAAGCGUGGGAGCGAACA